AAUUCCCACAAUUCCUGCGUGUGAGAGCCAUUCAUUAACAAACAGCAACACAGCGAGAGAGCCAACAUGUCAGACAAGAAACAGACCGUCGACCUGGGCUUACUGGAGGAGGACGAUGAGUUUGAAGAAUUCCCAGCCGAGAAUUGGACGGGGCUGGAUGAAGAUGAAGAUGCUCAUGUUUGGGAAGAUAACUGGGAUGAUGACAACGUAGAGGAUGAUUUUUCAAAUCAGCUGAGAGCGGAGCUGGAAAAACAUGGUUACAAGAUGGAGACGUCAUAGUGGCUGACAAGGCCUUUCAGUGUUCUACGACACUGGAUAUGGACAUUUAUAUUUGAAUAUGUUGACCACCCACCACAAGAAGAGAUUUGAGGACGUUAAUUUGUUUCUUUUUUUUGUAAGGAAUAUCGAUGAAAGUAAAGAAUUUGGAGGAAACCGUUCCUUUGAGUGUUUUUUUUUUUUUACUGACCAACUAUACUGCAAAUGUUAAGCAUUUGUAGUUAAUAAAUUUGCUGUUAUCUACGCGUUA